UACGAAGGGGGCUAGCGUUGUUCGGAAUUACUGGGCGUAAAGUGUGCGCAGGUGGCCGCGCAAGUCGAGUGUGAAAUCCCCGAGCUUAACUUGGGAAUUGCGCUCGAAACUACGUGGCUCGAGUGUGGCAGAGGAAGGUGGAAUUCCACGUGUAGCGGUGAAAUGCGUAGAGAUGUGGAGGAACACCGAUGGCGAAGGCAGCCUUCUGGGCCAACACUGACGCUCAUGCACGAAAGCGUGGGGAGCAAACAGG
rnacentral:rRNA from 1 species